rnacentral:rRNA from 1 species
AACGCUGGCGGCGCGCUUAACACAUGCAAGUCGAACGGGAAAGGGGAGCAAUCCCUGAGUACAGUGGCGUACGGGUGAGUAACACGUGGAUCAUCUACCUCCUGGUGGGGAAUAACUUUGGGAAACCGAAGCUAAUACCGCAUAAGCCCGAAAGGGGAAAGGCGCAAGUCGCCGGGAGAGGAGUCCGCGGCCGAUUAGCUAGUUGGUAGGGUAAAAGCCUACCAAGGCUGAGAUCGGUAGCCGGCCUGAGAGGGCACACGGCCACACUGGCACUGAAACACGGGCCAGACUCCUACGGGAGGCAGCAGUGGGGAAUCUUGCACAAUGGGGGAAACCCUGAUGCAGCGACGCCGCGUGAGCGAUGAAGCCCUUCGGGGUGUAAAGCUCUUUCGACAGGAACGAUAAUGACGGUACCUGGAGAAGAAGCUGCGGCUAACUACGUGCCAGCAGCCGCGGUAAUACGUAGGCAGCAAGCGUUGUUCGGAGUUACUGGGCGUAAAGAGUAUGUAGGCGGUUAUCCAAGUCUGGUGUGAAAUCUCCCGGCUCAACUGGGAGGGUGCGCCGGAUACUGGGUGACUGGAGCGUGGGAGAGGAAAGCGGAAUUUCUGGUGUAGCGGUGAAAUGCGUAGAUAUCAGGAGGAACACCAGCGGUGUAGACGGCUUUCUGGACCACGGCUGACGCUGAGAUACGAAAGCGUGGGUAGCAAACAGGAUUAGAUACCCUGGUAGUCCACGCCCUAAACGAUGCACACUUGGUGUGAGCCAUUCAUUUGGUUCGUGCCGGAGCUAACGCGUUAAGUGUGCCGCCUGGGGAGUACGGUCGCAAGGCUGAAAACUUAAGGA